rnacentral:lncRNA from 1 species
GCCUGCAGAACUUUAAACCUUAGAUGGUUCUAGAUGGUUUUUUUUUAAUCCAUCUCCGUAAAUUUUAGAAAAGAACGUUAUAAAUCAUGUUAGUAUCAAAACACUCACUACUGAUGGGAUACCAUCGGGAACUAGCAGUUCACCAUAAGCUUAUUGAUCGUGUACUAUUAAAUGAAAUAAAACUUUAUUAUUUUUUUGAAUCUAAGAUUAAC